rnacentral:rRNA from 1 species
UGCAUAUCAAUAAGCGGAGGAAAAGAAACCAACAGGGAUUGCCUCAGUAGCGGCGAGUGAAGCGGCAAGAGCUCAGAUUUGAAAUCGCCUCGGCGAGUUGUAAAUUGCAGGUUGGAGUCUUUGUGGCGGCGUGUGUCUAAGUCCCUUGGAACAGGGCGCCAUUGAGGGUGAGAGCCCCGUGCGGCACGCGUCUAAGCUUUAAGACCCUUCUGACGAGUCGAGUUGUUUGGGAAUGCAGCUCUAAGUGGGUGGUAAAUUCCAUCUAAGGCUAAAUACUGGCGAGAGACCGAUAGCGAACAAGUACUGUGAAGGAAAGAUGAAAAGCACUUUGAAAAGAGAGUGAAACAGCACGUGAAAUUGUUGAAAGGGAAGGGUAUUGGGCUCGACAUGGGGACUGCGCACCGUUGCUUCUUGUAGGCGGCGCUCUGUGCGGUUUCUGGGCCAGCAUCAGUUUUUGCCGCGGGAGAAUGGGGGGAGGAACGUGGCUCUUCGGAGUGUUAUAGCCUCUCUCAGAUGCCGCGAGCGGGGACUGAGGUCUGCGAUUCGUUCAAGGAUGCUGGCACAACGGCGCAAUACCGCCCGUCUUGAAACACGGACCA